GCCCCAGCCUCCCAGAGUGCUGGGAUUACAGGCAUGAGCCACCACGCCUGGCCAAGACCAUAAAUCUUAAUUAAUCUAGUUCAUAGUCUCAAAUUCAUUCUACUCUCUGAUUUUUAUUUCUCCCAACUUACUGUGUGCACGCACCCCCCCUUUUUAAUGACAUUUCUCUGAUUUGCACUGCCAUCCUCUCUCCUACUUCAGUGAUCCAGCAUCCACAAUUCAUUUUGUCAUAGGUGAGGCUUACCUCUUUCCUGUCAGUUCUUCACCUGUACAGAUUGCUUCCUUUUCUCUUUUUGCACUUAUUGUUUGCAACACCCAAUGACUUCUUGUAGAGAGCCCAAUUCUGUAGUUGAUAAAACCCACACAUGCACGUAUGUUACAUCUGGCUCGGAAUUGGAAGCUCCAUGGAGAAAGGAAAUGGCUUUUGUUUCUUCAGUAUCUUCACACUCCCAAAUGUGCUGAUAUCUUUAGUCGUUCUUAGCUAAAUGAGUCAAUUGAAAUAAUAAUCUGGAGGGAUUUUUUUAAAUCUCAAAAAUUUUCUAAGUCCCAUGUCUCUUAAAUGAAAAAUUGUCAAAUGAAGGAGCCAUUUUCAGGAUUUUAAUUUAUGUAUUAAUGGUACUCUACUUCCACCCCAAAAGGAUUUAAGGUGAGCUUAAAAUAUUAUGAAAAUAAGAUAAGAUUAUUAAUUCCAUCCAUGCAAGCUCUAAAAUCUUCUAUUUCUAGAUACUAAUCUAAACAAUGAAGAGGUUAUUUUUUAAAGACAAAAGGUGUGCUUUAUAAUAUCUCUCAUUAUCAUGUUAAGAAAAAAAACCAAAAACACAGAUAAAAAAUUUCAGAAAUAUUUUUGCGUUUUCUUUGCAUAUCAUACACAUACACACACACACAUACAUACAUACACAGUCACACUAGAACUGUACUGGCAGUGAACAUAGGUUGUUUAAAGUAUAGCUAUUCAACUGUCAUAUAAAGUGAAAUCUAUAUUUUCUCUCUCCCUAUAUGACUAUAUAUUUAACAUCUCUAUGCAUAUGUGUGUGCAUACAUAUGUAUAUGUUAUAUACACACACUCCACAUUAUUAUUUCAAAGGGGAUUUUGCUCCUUCUGGCUACCAGCAAUAACUAGUCAAUAUUUACACUCUUGAAUAUCGAUGACAUCAUGCAUACACAGGAAAGCUGUGGAAAACAUCUCCAUUUUCAAACAGAGUUUUAAUUAUUUGUAAAGACUUCAAUUGUUCACUAAUGUCAUGGAUUGGUCCUCACAGUGUGAAGUGCAACUGCCCAGAUCCCCCACAGUAUUAUAAAUAGUCUUCUAAAGCCGGGUUGAUUGAUGUUUGGCAUAAAACUCUAUUCCUCUGAGCACAUAUAUUCCUUCUGUUCACUAUUUUCAUAGAAAAAUACCAGGGCUGAUUUUUUAUUCAAAUCUCCAAUUUAUGCAGGGUUUAAACUACUAAAUACUUAAAGCCGUUUUCAGAUCUUUCCCCCCUUUUCUGUUAGGUAGGUAACUAAAUCUUUGGCUUCAAUGCAAAUAAGAAUUGGAGAUUUAGCAGAUUCCUGUGGGGGAGAGGAAGAGUUUAUUAAUUAUAUUGAGAAUCAAAUAAUAUGCUUCUUUGACACUAAUGUUCCAUCUUUCUCCACCCCAAGUAUCCUAUGGGACAACUUUAAAGCCUUUAUCAGGGUCUAAAUUACUGCAUUUAUGGUUCCUUAGAAGUAGGAAUUUAAUGAAUGGCAUUCUGAGUUGAAGAGAGAAUUUGAAGGUUUAAGCUGCAACGGUGAAGCAAUUUUUUUCAAAGUAUGUGGCAGGGAUUGUAAUAUAAAACAUCAAAAAAAGCACAAUAAAAUACAUUUUCAUGAGUGUUAAUAAAUUUUUAAUACUGAUGAAAUGUAAAUUUUUCCUUCAUGACCCUUAUCUGCAUUUGACAGAGUCCAACAGAAAAUUUUAAGUACCUGUUUAAAGCAAUUUACAAGAUACUGUGGAGAUUCCCAGCAAUAAAGAAUGUACUAUAGUUAAGCUGGAAUCCAACUCCUGAAUUUCUGGAGCCCUGAAGACCACUUAGUCUUACUCACAAGAAUUGAAUGGAAUGUGAAUCUACACUCAGGUGAAGCCAGGGUAUUUUGAACGUCCCUACAAGACUGAAGCACCACUGGGAAAUAAGUAAUAGAGAUGCCAUCAUUGUGGAGGUCAUAAUGCUUGUCCUGAACACGAGGGGUCUCUAGUGUGGGGGAAACAAGCUUAACAGAGGAUUGAAAGCUGAUGCCUCCAAACUGUAAGGAGAAGUUUGUGAAGCCUAG
rnacentral:lncRNA from 1 species